rnacentral:rRNA from 1 species
UGAUCCUGGCUCAGAAUGAACGCUGGCGGCGUGCCUAACACAUGCAAGUCGUACGAGAAAGGGGCUUCGGCCCUAGUAGAGUGGCGCACGGGUGAGUAACGCGUGGGUAAUCUACCCUUGGAUUUGGGAUAACUCUGCGAAAGUGGAGCUAAUACCGGAUAGUCUGGCUUUAAAUAAGAAGUCGGUAAAGGAUGCCUCUGCAUAUGCAUUCGUCCGAGGAUGAGCCCGCGUCUCAUUAGCUAGUUGGUAGGGUAAUGGCCUACCAAGGCAACGAUGAGUAGCUGGUCUGAGAGGAUGAUCAGCCACACUGGAACUGAAACACGGUCCAGACUCCUACGGGAGGCAGCAGUGGGGAAUAUUGCGCAAUGGGCGAAAGCCUGACGCAGCAACGCCGUGUGAGGGAUGAAGGCUUUCGGGUCGUAAACCUCUGUCGGAAGGGAAGAACGGGCAAUGGUCUAAUAGGCCGUUGUUUUGACGGUACCUUUAGAGGAAGCACCGGCUAACUCCGUGCCAGCAGCCGCGGUAAUACGGAGGGUGCAAGCGUUAUUCGGAAUUACUGGGCGUAAAGCGCACGUAGGCGGCCUUGUAAGUCAGGGGUGAAAUCCCACGGCUCAACCGUGGAACUGCCUUUGAAACUGCAGGGCUUGAAUCCUGGAGAGGGUGGCGGAAUUCCUGGUGUAGGAGUGAAAUCCGUAGAUAUCACGAGGAACACCGGUGGCGAAAGCGGCCACCUGACAGGUAUUGACGCUGAGUGCGAAAGUGUGGGGAGCAAACAGGAUUAGAUACCCUGUAGUCCACACCGUAAACGAUGGAUACUAGUGUCGGGGACUUGAUCUUCGUGCCGUAGCUACGCGUUAAGUAUCCCGCCUGGGGAGUACGUCGCAAGNUGAAACUCAAANNNNGACGGGGGCUCGCACAGCGGUGGAGUAUGUGGUUUAAUUCGA